GGGAGAAAGAACCCUUGUCUGUUUGAAGGAAGGGUGAAUGUUGCAAUGAGCAAGCUUGCAUUAGCAUUGGAGUAGCCAUGAAGUCUGCAGAGUCAAUCAGUGGCCUCUGUUGCCUGGAGGCACCCUCUGUUUGGGAGGUGUUAACUGGCACCUGAUUGCUUGCUGUCUGGAGUUCUCCUGUUUCUGAGUGCUGGACACAGAAUCCUAUUUGAAAACGCAGAAAUGCUGGGCCAUUCACACCUGCUUCAAGCAGACAAGGGUUCUUUCUCCCACCCUGGACAUUAUUCCACAGGGAUAGAGACACUCCACUUGCUUCAUUGUCCAACAGAACCUCCGAAGACCCUGAUGUUUGCGUUUCUGGGUGUUUCCAUUUUCAACAUGACCCAUAAAGGGAAAGGGGGAAAUCGUGGAGGUAAAGAAAGUUUCUCCCCUUCAUCCUUGAUCUUUUGCUUCUUCCUUAACCAGGGAAAUGAGGAUUCUAUGGAGCCACCCCUUGGAUGCAGCAAUGAAAUCAAUAAUAUAGGAAGAAGAACUUCUCUCUAGGUGAGGGUCUUGCUGAAAUCUUGACGUCACAGACAGAUAUGGAAGGAAAAAAGAAGACUGAAGCAUCUGUAUUGCAAUUAAACACCCAUAUCAUGGCUGACARGWWGGAGAAAGCAUUGAUAUGCCUGGAAUGUGGGAAGAGUUUCACUCAGAGGAGUAUUCUGAAGCGACAUCAAAGGACUCACACGGGGGAGAAACCCUAUACAUGCCUGGAGUGUGGAAAGAGUUUCACUGAAAGUUCAAGUCUACAUUCACAUCAAAGGACUCACACUGGGGAGAAACCCUAUACAUGUCUGGAGUGUGGAAAGAGCUUCACUAUGAGUGGAAAUCUACGUUCACAUCAAAGGACUCACACGGGGGAGAAACCCUAUACAUGCCUGGAGUGUGGAAAGAGCUUCCCUCAGAGUGAACAUCUACAUAAACACCAAAGGAUUCACACUGGGGAGAAACCCUAUACGUGCCUGGAGUGUGGGCAGAGCUUCACUCAGAGUGGAAGUCUACGUUUACAUCAAAGGAUUCACACUGGGGAGAAACCCUAUACAUGCCCGGAGUGUGGACAGAGCUUCAGUAGGGGUGGAAGUCUACGUUCACAUCAAAGGAUUCACACUGGGGAAAAAUCCUAUACAUGCCUGGAGUGUGGGCAGAGCUUCACUGAGAGUGGAAGUCUACGUUCACAUCAAAGGAUUCACACUGGGGAGAAACCCUAUAAAUGCCUGGAGUGUGGGCAGAGCUUCACUACGAGUGGACAUCUACGUUCACAUCAACGGAUUCACACUGGGGAGAAACCCUAUACCUGCCUGGAGUGUGGAAAGAGCUUCACUCAGAGUGGAAGUCUACAUAAACAUGAAAGGACUCACACUGMGGGGAAAUCCUAUAAAUGCCAUGAGUGAUUACAGAGCUUCACCCAUUCUUCAAGUUUACAUUCAGAUCAAAGGACUUACACUGCGGAGAAACCUUAUAAAUGCAUGUUGUGUGGGAAAAGAUUAUCUGAGAAUGGAAAUCUACAUAGACACGGAAUUCACAUUGGAGAGAACAGCGGUGUUUGACUCCAAAGAGAAUUUCUCAGAUAGAGCUUUCUCGAUUUUUCAUGUUGGUGAAACACUUUUUAGAAAUGCAUCUUUUUGAGACAAAGGAAUUCAGUUUAAAUAGUAAACCAGAGAUUAAAACAAUACCAUAUAAGUCUUUCAAUAUAUAUAAUAUAAUAAUAUAUAGAAAGACAUUUCAAAAGAGAAAAGUCAUGCCCCUUAAGCAUUCUAACUGGAGGUCAGCUGUGACCAGCAGUGCUGCAGAAUUGAAAGUGGCACGAGUGGAGGGCAAAAGGGAGAUACGUGCCAAGAGGAACGAUAGCAGACUGAUAGAUAGCUUCUAUUCCAGAGCUGGAAAUGAGGAUUCUAUGGAGCCACCCCUUGGAUGCAGCAAUGAAAUCAAUAAUAUAGGAAGAAGAACUUCUCUCUAGGUGAGGGUCUUGCUGAAA